rnacentral:lncRNA from 1 species
UUACGCUUUCUUCUGCUGCCUCCCCACCUAACCCAGACGGUACCAGCCUUUGCAAUUUCGCAGAUCAAACCUCGCCGACCACGUGUUUGCCAAAAGUUGCCUCUUGCCUGUAUUGCCCUUUUGCGCGUAGCCCCCUGCAAGUUCCUCCGCCUCCCUCACGGGCCCUUCGCCGGAGCUUGCCAUAUGAAUGGUCAAACCCCGAUGGGGCUCGCCGCCGCCGCAGCCGCAGCAGUGAGGCCGUGCAGCCGGCGCCUCCUCUCGUCCGCCUCCACCGCGACGUCAAAGACGGCGGCGGGCACCGCGACCCCGCUCUUCCCCAGAUUGCCCCACCCGCACCACCCCCCGUGCGGCCGGCGCCUCCCCUUCCUGGUAUCUGCGGCGUCGCAGUCGCAGGCCUCGCAGACCGGCCCGGAUGCCCCGCCCACCCACAUCCCCUCCGACCCCCGCGCCGCCGUUUCCGGCAACCUCCCCUUCUUCGACCGCGUCCUCUUCCCGGACUCGUUCCCGCUUGAGACCCCGGCCGCCAAGGAGGACGAGGACGCGGCGGCGGCCCAUGCCGAUGAGGCGGUGGCGCCGGCGCCUCCCGUGAGGGAGGAGACGGAGACUGAGAGGGAGGCAUGGAGGCUGCUGCGGAGGGCGGUCGUCAGCUACUGCGGCGAGCCAGUGGGGACGGUGGCGGCGGAGGACCCCGAGUGCACGGAGACGCUCAACUACGACCAGGUCUUCAUCAGGGACUUCGUGCCCUCUGCACUCGCCUUCCUCAUGCGCGGCGAGACCGAGAUCGUCCGCAAUUUCCUUCUCCAUACUCUCCAGCUUCAGGUGAGCGUCUCUCGGCCGAUUCCGAUCCUGCUUAGUUCCUCGUCUGGUCAAAUUUAAAAUUCCAAAAGAAUUGAGUGCUAUCUGAGAACUAGUGGUGUUAAUGGCGUGCACGUCAGGUUUUUCUGUGAGUUGUGGGAAGAGCACACCGAAUUUUGCAUCGCCAGGAGAUACUUGAGGAUUUUUUUUACUAUCAUUUCGGGUCGUUUAUUUAUCUGUAUGAGCGAAAAUUGCCAUUAUUUUAUCGGAAUGUGUACAAGCGUGUGGGUAUUUAGGUCUGAAAUUGAUUUCUAUACAGAUUUCUUUUCUGUGGGUGAUGUAGAGAUAAGAUUUCUAUUUUGCCGUGUAAUUAUGUCGCUUUCGUAUAAUAGUGCGGUGAAGUAGACAGGGUCUUGUGUUGUAGCCUAUUCGGUGAGCUUUCACCCUUCAAAUAAGUAUCAGAUUUCACCACAAGAUCUCAGUACUGCUUUACAUGCCAGUAAAUUGCAGAACACUGAGAAUCUGAGUUGAAUAAAUAAAAUUAGAUAGCAGGUGCAGUUAAGGUUUGAUGGUAAAAGUCUGAGAUGAACAGUUACUACUAAAUUAUCCUUUAGCAAUUCUGCUGACUAGCAAUAUGUUAGUUCUGUAAAUAGAGAGUGUUUGUAAUUGCACUGUUCUUGUUGAACUAGAUAGAUGGCUGAAACCAAUACCAAAAUGAUGACAGGAACAUGAAACAUUUUUCUCUGAAGAUUCUGAAAGUUGAUUCAAAUGUAUUAAGACCAUGUAAUGAUACUUCUCUUGAUCUAUACCACCAAGUAGUAACACUUAUAAUUACUAUUAAACUGAAUAAAAGAGAAUUUUGUGGUUCCUGAACUCCUCUCUGUUUGCCUGUUUAUAUGAGUUUUUGAGCUGGCUUUAAUAAUUGCUCUCUUUUUUAUGAUUAGAGCUGGGAGAAAACUGUUGACUGUUACAGCCCUGGGCAAGGAUUGAUGCCAGCCAGCUUCAAGAUUAGGACCGUACCACUUGAUGAGAACAAUGAAGGAUUUGAGGAGGUCUUGGACCCGGAUUUUGGUGAGGCAGCUAUCGGCCGUGUAGCUCCUGUCGAUUCUGGUAUGUAUCUAGUGCCACAUAAGCAGCAUAUAAGACUUUGCUUUCAAAUUAUUGUUAUCAUGCAUCUUCAUUCUGCUAUUUUAACCCCAUUUAUUUGUUGGCAGGACUGUGGUGGAUUAUUUUGCUGAGAGCUUACUGCAAGAUUACAGGGGACAAUGAUUUGCUAGAAAGAGUUGAUGUGCAGACGGGAAUUCAACUGAUACUGAGUUUGUGUUUGUCUGAUGGGUUCGACAUGUUCCCAACUUUACUAGUUACAGAUGGAUCAUGCAUGAUAGACAGGAGGAUGGGAAUACAUGGACAUCCUCUUGAAAUCCAAGUAAGUAGAACCUAAUUGUUUAUGGCUCGAUUGAUUAGAUCCUGAAAUAAUGGUGUAGAAUGUUAUUCACUAAUACAAAAAAAUGCAGCCAUGUAGGAACCAAUUCUUUUCUUCUUUGCAGGACUAGUUUGAUUUGACAAAAGAAAAAGGCUUAGCUAGCAGGACUAGUUUAAUUUGACAAAAGAAAAAAAACUUAGCUAUUCUUGUUUUUCAAACCUAGAUCUUUUUGGCAUAUCAGCUAAAGAUCUGUACUUACGAAAUCUUUCCUGUUACUCAGGCUUUGUUCUACUCUGCUUUACGAUGCUCACGAGAAAUGCUUGUUGUGAAUGAUGGGUCAAAAAACCUCAUCCGUGCCGUUAACAACAGGCUCAGUGCAUUGUCCUUUCACAUAAGAGAAUACUACUGGGUUGACAUGAAGAAGAUAAAUGAGAUAUACAGAUACAAGACAGAAGAAUACUCCCAUGAUGCAACUAACAAAUUCAACAUUUACCCUGAGCAAAUCCCUUCCUGGCUUGUUGACUGGAUUCCUGAGAAAGGAGGUUACCUUAUUGGGAAUCUGCAGCCAGCUCACAUGGAUUUUAGGUUCUUCUCUCUUGGCAACCUUUGGGCCAUAGCAUCAUCUCUAACUACUCCAAAACAAGCUGAGGGAAUUCUUAGCCUUAUUGAAGAAAAGUGGGAUGAUCUUGUAGCAAAUAUGCCCCUCAAGAUAUGCUAUCCUGCAAUGGAAGAUGAUGAAUGGCGCAUUAUUACUGGCAGUGAUCCUAAGAACACGUAAGCAUCCUGUUGAAUCAAUCUUUGUCUUCCUGCAUCUCUUGGUUUGUGAUAUUUCCGUUUUGUGGGUCUCUAUUUAUUUUUUAAGAUUAAAGUUCUCUUUCUUAAACAUCGCAUCAGUUGUUGACAUCUAGCCAUUCCGUGCAUGUGCAGCCCAUGGUCAUAUCAUAAUGGUGGAUCUUGGCCAACCCUGUUGUGGCAGGUACGUAGAUACCACUGCAAUGUUUUCAAAUUUCUUGCUCCUUUUCAUGCUUGUAGAUCAUUGAUGACUAAUCCUUGUUUCUGUUUACAGUUCACAUUGGCGUGCAUAAAAAUGGGCAGACCAGAAUUGGCUCGGAAGGCCAUUGCUGUGGCUGAGGACAGACUCUCAGACGACAAGUGGCCGGAGUACUAUGAUACCCGGUCUGGAAGGUUCAUUGGGAAGCAAUCACGAUCUUAUCAGACAUGGACUAUUGCUGGUUUUCUGACUUCAAAGAUGUUGCUGGAGAACCCAGAGCUGGCUUCUAUUCUGACCUGCGAUGAGGACCUUGAGCUGCUUGAAGGCUGUGCUUGUUGCCUGUCUAAGAAGAGGGCUAGGUGCUCACGCCGUGUGGCCAAGUCACAUGCUGGGUAAAACCGCAAAGCUCAUGCUGUUCCUUCUGCCGUGGAUGCACGAUGUAUGCUACUGUUAGGAUUAACCCUGAGACGGAGAGACUCUUCACAUGU